UACGAAGGGGGCUAGCGUUGCUCGGAAUCACUGGGCGUAAAGGGCGCGUAGGCGGCUGUUCAAGUCGGGGGUGAAAGCCUGGGGCUCAACCCCGGGUCGGCCGUGCGAACUGGGGGGCUGGAGCACUGUAGAGGCAGGCGGAAUUCCGGGUGUAGCGGUGGAAUGCGUAGAGAUCCGGAAGAACACCGGUGGCGAAGGCGGCCUGCUGGGCAGUUGCUGACACUGAGGCGCGACAGCGUGGGGAGCAAACAGG
rnacentral:rRNA from 1 species